UGACAACUAAAAUCCCCUUGCAGGCCGUCCAUAUCAACCUACGGCAGGUCAGAGCGCGUAACCCCUCCAGAACCGCAAGCCCAGGCCCACACCCUUUCCCCUUGUCAACAUUGUCACUUUAAACAGAACAUCUAGCCUUAUCGCCCAACCUGGAAAUUGACAGUGCAGGAGAAACCGACACCAGUGAGCAGCAUCUGUGCAGCACAUCUCCUCCUCUCUCUCGGCUUACAGAUUUACCACCGCCUUGGUUCUGCAGACACAUUGGAAGACAAAGUCAUUCCAGACUCCCCCUGUCAUUAUACUGUUUACUCUCCCUGUCUUAUUUAUUCCUGUUUGUUCUUUACGUUGGAUGCAGAGACAAGCGCGUACAAACAUUGGGACAUUCGAGAAGUUAAGUAUAAUGGCAGGGGAGGGCAAAAG
ensembl:lncRNA